GCCCCCAUAACUGUGCAUAUCUCUGGCGGGGCUUCUAGCACCCUGAUUGUAACUGCCUGUGAAUUUGUUCAUGUUCACUACCAGACUGCCCUCCUUUAGGAUCACUAUCUUUUCUCCAUGUCUUAGGAACAUAUAUUCAUCCCUCAGGAGGGCUAUGGAGGACAAGGACAUGAGGCCUUCCUGAGUGGACCCCAGAAUUGGUGAGGGCGUUUGGGUCCAUGGACUCCUGGCCCUGCUGCCUCCUGAGGACAUUUUGGGUGCCUGGAUUCCAACGGCCUGAACACAGAGGAUGAUCAGUCCUGGAAUGGGGGCAUGCAGCUCUUGGAGUAAACAUCGCUAUUCCCAAAUGUACUGAUGUUAUCAGCUGAAACAGAUCAGUACUAUAAUUAUGCAGCAGAUGCCUUGCGUUAAAUAAGAUUCACGUGAGACCUGCGGACGUGUUCAUCUCCAGCUCGUAAAUCCAUUGCGGUGCAGCAUCUUUCUCUGCCACUAGGUGGCAGAUGUUCGUGGUUCACUAAGACUGCUGAGGAGGUGGCGGUUCACCAGGGAGGGAGGAUUCUGGCUCAGACUGUUGGAGUGGAAGUUUUCGAGAGACAGAGCCUCACCCUGCUCACGCCUUCGGGGGCUACGGCAGGACACAGGGAAGAUGGUGGCCUGCCCUCACAGAGCCCACAGGAAGCCCCUGAUUUAUAGUGACAGGACCAUCAGGAUUCGAGGGCAGUCCAGUUUUAGCAAGAGUCCUGCUAAGUCGCUUCAGAGAGAAUCCUCCACCCUCGGUAUCCAGUUACUACCAAUAUCUGAUUGGGUUCCUCAUCCUCCACCCUCGCCCAGGUGAUGCCUGAUCGCCCUGGCCUGCUGUCUGCAAGAAUACUCUUGGGUCAUUUUAGCCAGAAUCUGCAUACCUUUAGUGUCUCCUCUUAGUAAUUUCCAUCCACUGACCACCCCCCUCCCUGCUCCUGGCUAUAAAUUCUCACUCAUCCUUGUCGUAUUCAGAGUUGAGCCCCAUCUCUCUCCCCUAUCGCGACAGUCUUGACACCUAUCAGCAUAGUCCCGAAUAAAGUCCUCCCUACUGUUUUAACAAAUGUCAGAAUAAGUGUUCCUUUAGCUGGUAAUAUUAAAAGAAAGCAAACACAAA